UCCNCUUGGCUACAUCCGCC
rnacentral:tRNA from 2 species